rnacentral:rRNA from 1 species
UUCCCGGGUCUUGUACACACCGCCCGUCACACCACGAGAGUUUACAACACCCGAAGUCGGUGAGGUAACCGCAAGGGGCCAGCCGCCGAAGGUGGGGUAGAUGAUUGGGGUGAAGUCGUAACAAGGUAGCCGUAUCGGAAGGUGCGGCUGGAUCACCUCCUUUCUAUGGAGA